UACAGAGGUCCCAAGCGUUGUUCGGAUUCAUUGGGCGUAAAGGGUGCGUAGGCGGCGCGGUAAGUCGGGUGUGAAAUCUCGGAGCUUAACUCCGAAACUGCAUUCGAUACUGCCGUGCUUGAGGACUGGAGAGGAGACUGGAAUUUACGAUGUAGCGGUGAAAUGCGUAGAUAUCGUAAGGAAGACCAGUGGCGAAGGCGGGUCUCUGGACAGUUCCUGACGCUGAGGCACGAAGGCCAGGGGAGCAAACGGG
rnacentral:rRNA from 1 species